GGGCCCGUAGCUCAACUGGAUAGAGCAGUGGACUACGGAUCCACAGGUUGGGGGUUCGAAUCCCUCCGGGCUCACCA
rnacentral:tRNA from 1 species